rnacentral:rRNA from 1 species
CAUGCAAGUCGAACGGAAAGGCCCUUCGGGGUGCUCGAGUGGCGAACGGGUGAGUAACACGUGGGUGAUCUGCCCUGCACUUUGGGAUAAGCCUGGGAAACUGGGUCUAAUACCGAAUAGGACUCCGGACUGCAUGGUCUGGGGUGGAAAGCCUUUGCGGUGUGGGAUGGGCCCGCGGCCUAUCAGCUUGUUGGUGGGGUGAUGGCCUACCAAGGCGACGACGGGUAGCCGGCCUGAGAGGGUGACCGGCCGCACUGGGACUGAGAUACGGCCCAGACUCCUACGGGAGGCAGCAGUGGGAAUAUUGCACAAUGGGCGCAAGCCUGAUGCAGCGACGCCGCGUGGGGGAUGACGGCCUUCGGGUUGUAAACCUCUUUCAGCACAGACGAAGCGUAAGUGACGGUAUGUGCAGAAGAAGCACCGGCCAACUACGUGCCAGCAGCCGCGGUAAUACGUAGGGUGCGAGCGUUGUCCGGAAUUACUGGGCGUAAAGAGCUCGUAGGUGGUUUGUCGCGUUGUUCGUGAAAACUCACA